rnacentral:rRNA from 1 species
AGAGUUUGAUCAUGGCUCAGGACGAACGCUGGCGGCGUGCCUAAUGCAUGCAAGUCGGACGCUCUGCCCUUCGGGGCAGGGAGUGGCGGACGGCUGAGUAGCGCGUGGGUCACCUGCCCCGAAGUGGGGGAUAACGCUCCGAAAGGAGUGCUAAUCCCGCAUAGUCCCUGCCUCGUGCAGGGUAAAGCCCUCGGGCGCUUUGGGUGGGGCCUGCGUCCCAUUAGUUUGUUGGCGGGGUAAUGGCCCACCAAGACUGUGAUGGGUGGCUGGUCUGAGAGGACGACCAGCCAGACUGGGACUGAGACACGGCCCAGACUCCUACGGGAGGCAGCAGCAAGGAAUUUUCCGCAAUGGGCGCAAGCCUGACGGAGCAACGCCGCGUGGAGGAUGACGGCUCUCGGGUUGUAAACUCCUUUUGUGGGGGAUGACAUCGACAGUACCCCACCAACAAGCCCCGGCUAACUACGUGCCAGCAGCCGCGGUAAUACGUAGGGGGCUAGCGUUGUCCGGACUUACUGGGCGUAAAGCGCGCGCAGGUGGACGAGUAUGUGCCGUGUGAAAGCGCCGUCCUUACGAUGGUGAGGUCAUGGUAGACAGCUUGUCUAGAGGCUCGAAGAGGUUGAUGGAAUUCCGGGUGGAGCGGUGAAAUGCGUAGAUAUCCGGAGGAACACCAGGGGCGAAAGCGGUCAACUGGUCGAGUUCUGACACUGAGGCGCGACGGCGUGGGGAGCAAACCGGAUUAGAUACCCUCGUAGUCC